rnacentral:lncRNA from 1 species
AGACGAGUAAAACAUGAGUUUAGAAUUUACUGCCUAACCUUGUCUUCAAAUACAUAAUUAGAGCUCCUUAUCACUUCGAAAACAAAAGCAAAAGGCUUUCUAGGUAGACCUAAUAUACUUUUUAAAAGAACAAAAAUAUAUUUAAAUCUUCAACAAUUCAUAUCUUCUAAAUAUUAACUGUAGUAGCUAGGCUAUAGCAUGAAAUAUUAAACACUUGAGUAGGGUUUAUAUUGUG